rnacentral:rRNA from 1 species
ACGGAAGGCAGCAGUGAGGAAUAUUGGUCAAUGGACGCAAGUCUGAACCAGCCAUGCCGCGUGCAGGAAUAAGGCCCUAUGGGUCGUAAACUGCUUUUGUGGUGGAGCAAUAAGUCGUACGUGUACGGCGAUGAGAGUACAUCACGAAUAAGCAUCGGCUAACUCCGUGCCAGCAGCCGCGGUAAUACGGAGGAUGCAAGCGUUAUCCGGAUUUAUUGGGUUUAAAGGGUGCGUAGGCUGUGGUCCAAGUCAGGGGUGAAAGGCCGGAGCUCAACUCCGGAACUGCCUUUGAUACUGGAUUGCUGGAAUACGGAUGCCGUGGGAGGAAUGAGUAGUGUAGCGGUGAAAUGCAUAGAUAUUACUCAGAACACCGAUUGCGAAGGCAUCUCACGAAUCCGUCAUUGACGCUGAGGCACGAAAGCGUGGGGAUCAAACAGGAUUAGAUACCCUGGUA